GGGUGACACAACAAGACCCUGUUUCAAAAACAAAACAAAACCAAAAAAGAUAAAGUAGGUAAGGCAAAAUUUGAACAUUGGUUUGAAGGCUGAGCUGCUUUUCAAAUACCUGUAUACUUUUGGUAUUAAAACUAGUUUCUGUGGUGUCUGUUGUUGUGAAGUUGUCUAAUGAGGUAGACUUUUCGAUUUUCAUUUUUGUAUCUUAUUGUGGC
rnacentral:lncRNA from 1 species